rnacentral:rRNA from 1 species
GUCCACGCUGUAAACGAUGGGUACUAGGUUUCGUGGGAAUUGACCCCUGCGGAACCGGCGCUAACGCAAUAAGUACCCCGCCUGGGAAGUACGGUCGCAAGACUAAAACUCAAAGGAAUUGACGGGAGCCCGCACAAGCGGUGGAUUAUGUGGUUUAAUUCGAAGCAACGCGCAGAACCUUACCUAGGUUUGACAUCCUUUGACAACUAGAGAGAUCUAGCUUUCAUAGCAAUAUGACAAAGUGACAGGUGCUGCAUGGCUGUCGU